ACUCCUCCUGUACUCAGGCCCCAGCUCCUCUGUUCUGCCCAGUGGCCUGGCGCAGGAAAGGUGACCCAGUAGUUCAGCCUGUCCCAGCUGCCUGCCCCAGCACCAUCCCAGACCCCUUUCCCUGGGGCCCACCUUGGCCCUGAGGAAGGCCAGAGCUCGGCUGCUGUUCUCCAGGAAGUGCACACGCAGGCGGCCCCGGCUCGGGGGUGGCAGGGCCUCCCCUGAGAUGAGCUCCAGCAGCCGCAGGAGGUGGAUGCCGUCAGCCAGCUCUGUGUACAGGUUCCGGAUCUUGAUGCCCGCCUGGGGAGGGGACAGGGGUAAGUAUGGGGUCAGCCCAGCCUCACCUGUCCUCCCAUCCUGGGACCUGAGAGGUACGACCCAGAGCAGCUGCUUUGGAAGAAGGAGCUCUGGCCUCAGCUUGGCCUCAGGCAGAUGACCCCACAGCUCACCCCGGAGGCCCACUGGCCAGAGCUGGGGGCCUGGUAUGGGUGGGCUGUGGGUCACAGCUGGCUAUACUCACCUGGCCGCACUGGAAGACGUUAUUGAUCCACUUGGUGAAAGUCUUCUCCUGCAUCUGCAUGUGCCGGGCCUGUAGCUUGCGAAUGUGGCCCGUCUCGUACUGAGAGUCCAUGGUGAGACUUGGACUGGGCGGGACCCGGAGUUCUGUGCUGGGCCUCCUGCUGCGGUGCCCUGCAGCCCCGAGGAGCUCCCGGGGACUGUGGGGCUGACCAGCCAUCAGCCCUGCAGACUUUGGGGAUGAGGAGCUGCUGGAUGGCUCCCUAAACCUGGAGGGCAUGCAGAUUAGGGGAUGAUGUGAAUGGAGAUGGCCCCUCUACCAGGGGCCUGGGGUCCCGCCUUGCCAGACUGUCCUCACAUUUCAUGGGGGUUGCAGCUUGGAGCCCAGCCAGGUAAGGGCCAGUGCUUCUGGUCCCCUGUGCUUGAAUGGCCCAGGGCCCCCUUUGCCCCACCCCACCUUCCAGAUUCUUCUUCUCAGAGCCCCUGCUGCCAGGUCCCUCCACCACAGUGACUGGGACAGGUGGAAGGAAGACAGGAAACUGCUUACCUUGGUGAUGCCUGGGUCCCACAGAGACGGCUCUGCUGGACGGAUGGAGAUGGUAGAUAGCAGGGGCUGCUUACCUUGGUGAUGCCUGGGUUCCACAGAGGCGGCCCAGCUGGACGGAUGGAGAUGGCAGAUAGCAGGGGCUGUGGAGGGAGGGAGAGGGACAUCAGGAGAGGCCAAGGCUGGAGCAGGGCUGCACCACAGCCCUCCCCUUGAGCCAGCGUGCUGGGGUGACGGCACACAGGCGGCAUUGUCCUCCCACCUGCCACAGGGCGUGGCCCAGACAGGGAGGGGGUGGUUCAGGAAUGCUCCAGGGCCAUUGCCAGAUGAUGUCCUCCUUCAUCAUCCUCCCUUCCCCGCCAGCAACUUCUCCAACUCCAGGUGGGGGUCCUGGCUCCCAGGACGCAGAGGCCCAUGGAGCGGCCCUGCCACCGCAUGGGGUGCUGCAGUCUGCGUAGGAGGUACCAAAGGGCAGAGCCUCUGUGGGAAGCCUGUGGACGCACUUCCCAAUCUGAGACUGCCCUCUGUACCCUCUUGGGGCCUCUCUGUGAGCACCCAGGGCGAGGGGAUGAGGGAGCGUCCUGGGCCGUGGUCUUCUCAUUCACCCCCAGGGAACAGCCCAUAGACUGAGGGCCUCACAGACCCUGGGCUUGGCUUUCCAGGCCCUGCCAGAGUGCAGCCUGCCUAGCCCGGGGCUGAAGGGUAGGCUCCCUGGAGGAAGGGGUGACCUGGAACUGCGAGGGCUGUGGAGUCUCCUCCAAAAUUAGAGACACGGUGUUAACUCUGGGCUCCACAGAGCUGGCCGUGGCCCGGGGCUCGGAGGCAGGGGUGCAGAGGGAGCUGGUGGGCGCCCAUCCCUUCCUCCCCGAGCAGCCGUGGACUACAUGCCAGAGUGAAGGCGAGUUCUAAUUCUGGGGGUCUCACCCGCCUCUGGCUAAACUCAGGGUAGCAGUGUGGGCUGGGGUGUGUGUGUGUGGGUGUCUUCCAGCGGCCCUGGAGCCUCUGAAGCGACAGCCCGCUCCUCAGGGAGGCGCUCCUGGCAGCCACAGCCCACAGCAGGACAGCCGCUCAGCGCGCCCUUGAGAGCUGGGCUAGGGAUGAGUCACACUUGAACCGCCUGGGCCCACUGCAGGCAGUCAGGGGUGACGCUGAGAGGUGCCGUGGUCUCGGGUGGGGUGCGGCUUCCUGCGUCUGAGAGACGCUUCCUCUCCUGCUGUCCUCUCCCUGCCAGGCCCCUUCUGCAGCGGCUGGCUUCCAGACACCCUGCGUCCCUCCCUUGCUCGCAGCAGUUGCUGUGGCGGUCCUCCCGUGCACCCCCCCUUCUGCCCUCACUGCCCCUGGGGGUCCUCAUCACGGACCCCCUAACUCGGCAUCCUGGACACCACCACCCCGCACCUUUCCACAGUGCAGCUCUGCUCGUGCCUGUGAAGCCUCCCACAGCCUGGGAAGGAAAAUCCAGACUUGCCAGACCUUGCCUCAGCCAGGCCUUGGAAGCCUGCCAGCUUACCUAACCAGUAAGACCCUCAGCCCAUGGAGUCCUGUGUGAUGUUGUGAGCGUGGGAGGACAGACUGAACUGCUCGGCCCGUGGAGUCCUGUGUGAUGUUGUGAGCGGGGAGGACAGACUGAACUGCGUGGUGCUUCGCACAUAGACCUCAACAGGGAUUGGCAUUUUGAAGCUGUUGGCGGGGGCUGUGGACUGCUUUUCUUCCUUUCUAGCUCAACGGCAGCUAAAGCCACUGCAUACAAUGCAAGGACUGGCUCCUGUUUGGCCACGACUGAUUGCAGCCCCUGGUGAAAUGAGAACCCUGUGGGUCGGAACAAAGUUUGGAUUAUUUAUGUUGCAAGUAACUAAAAUCUCAAGUGAAACUGG
rnacentral:lncRNA from 1 species